rnacentral:lncRNA from 1 species
AUGUAUUUCCAAAUAGAAAACCAUGCAAUACAACAAUGUUUCUUAAUAUCAAUGCUCACAUAUAGCGAUUUCAUCAUUUUUAUCAUUUCUAAAAGAAUUACUAAAUUAAAGGUUUUAAUCAUCUUAUUUUUUAGAACUUAAUAGAUUUCUAUUUUAUAGGUAUAGACCUUCAAAAAUUUAAUGCUAUUUUUUCCAUUAAAUCUUUCUAUCUUGUCAAUAACAUCUCAUUGUUGGAAUAGAGAGAGUUUGCCUAAAGAAAGUGCUGGGCUUUUGACUACCACUAAAUACUCAAUUAAGUCUAAGAUAUAAAAAAACCAAGUUUAUAUAUAUAAUAUUUUCUCUUUUUGGAGCAAUUACAUCAAAACAUAAGCCUAAAUACCAACAAAAUACUCAAAUGUAUGAUAAAGUAUCUUAAAACCUUAUAUAUUCUUAUGAGAAAUGUUUUCCAAACCUAAAUAGGUCAUAUCUUACGAUCAGACCAUCUAAAUAAUUCUAAUUUUUUUCAUAAAGUACUAAUAUACUUUCAAAAACUACCUCAAAAAAAUUCAAUUGCAAACUCAUUACGGA